rnacentral:rRNA from 1 species
GACGAACGCUGGCGGCGUGCUUAACACAUGCAAGUCGAACGGAAAGGCCAUGCUCUUGCGGGGUGCUCGAGUGGCGAACGGGUGAGUAACACGCGAGUAUCCUGCCCCUGACUUUGGGAUAACUCCAGGAAACUGGGGCUAUUAUCCGAUAGGAGCUCCUGCUGCAUGGUGGGGGUUGGUAAGUUUCGGCGGUUGGGGAUGGACUCGCGGCUUAUCAGCUUGUUGGUGAGGUAGUGGCUUACCAAGGCUUUGACGGGUAGACGGCCUGGGAAGGUGACCGGCCCCAAUAUGCCUGCGGUACGGCCCAGACGCCAACGGGAGGCAUCGGUGGAAAAUUUGACGCAGUAGGCGGAAGCCUGAUACAGCGACUCCGCGUGCGGGAUGACUGCCUUCGGGUGAUAAACCGUUUUCGCCUGUAACGAAGCGUGAGUGACGGUAAUGUGUAAGAAAGCACCGGCUAACUACGUG